CGCGGCCUAUCAGCUUGUUGGUGAGGUAACGGCUCACCAAGGCAUCGACGGGUAGCUGGUCUGAGAGGAUGAUCAGCCACACCGGGACUGAGACACGGCCCGGACACCUACGGGUGGCAGCAGUUUCGAAUCAUUCACAAUGGGCGAAAGCCUGAUGAUGCAAUGCCGCGUGGAGGAUGACGGCCUUAGGGUUGUAAACUCCUGUCAUUAGGGAACAACAAGCAGGUUUAUAGCCUGCCCUGAGUUAACCUAAAGAGGAAGAGGUGGCUAACUCCGUGCCAGCAGCCGCGGUAAUACGGAGACCUCGAGCGUUGUCCGGAUUUAUUGGGCGUAAAGAGCUCGUAGGCGGUUCAACAAGUCGGUCGUAAAAGUUCAGGGCUCAACCCUGAAAUGUCGAUCGAUACUGUUGUGACUAGGAUACGGUAGAGGUGAGUGGAAUUCCGAGUGUAGCGGUGAAAUGCGUAGAUAUUCGGAGGAACACCAAUUGCGAAGGCAGCUCACUGGGCCGCUAUCGACGCUGAGGAGCGAAAGCUAGGGGAGCAAACAGGAUUAGAUACCCUGGUAGUCCUAGCUGUAAACGAUGGAUACUAGACGUAGGAACUGGAUUGACGGUUUCUGUGUCGUAGCUAACGCGUUAAGUACCCCGCCUGGGGAGUACGG
rnacentral:rRNA from 1 species